rnacentral:rRNA from 1 species
UACGGAGGGGGCUAGCGUUGUUCGGAAUUACUGGGCGUAAAGCGCACGUAGGCGGCUUUGCAAGUUAGAGGUGAAAGCCCGGAGCUUAACUCCGGAAUUGCCUUUAAGACUGCAUCGCUAGAAUCAUGGAGAGGUGAGUGGAAUUCCGAGUGUAGAGGUGAAAUUCGUAGAUAUUCGGAAGAACACCAGUGGCGAAGGCGACUCACUGGACAUGUAUUGACGCUGAGGUACGAAAGCGUGGGGAGCAAACAGG